UAGGGAAUCUUCCACAAUGGACGCAAGUCUGAUGGAGCAACGCCGCGUGAGUGAAGAAGGUUUUCGGAUCGUAAAGCUCUGUUGUGGUGAAGAAGGAUAGAGGCAGUAACUGGNCUUUAUUUGACGGUAAUCAACCAGAAAGUCACGGCUAACUACGUACCAGCAGCCGCGGUAAUACGUAGGUGGCAAGCGUUGUCCGGAUUUAUUGGGCGUAAAGCGAGCGCA
rnacentral:rRNA from 1 species